GGGCGGCUAUAAAGGGAGGGCGCAGGCGGCGCCCGGAUCUCUUCCGCCGCCAUUUUAAAUCCAGCUCCAUACAACGCUCCGCCGCCGCUGCUGCCGCGACUCGAACUGCGCGCCAGCAUCCCCCGGCCGACAACGCCGCCGCCAUGGAGGACAUGAACGAAUACAGCAACAUAGAGGAAUUCGCAGAGGGGUCCAAGAUCAACGCGAGCAAGAAUCAGCAGGAUGACGGUAAAAUGUUUAUUGGAGGCUUGAGCUGGGAUACAAGCAAGAAAGAUCUGACUGAGUAUUUGUCUCGAUUUGGGGAAGUUGUAGACUGCACAAUUAAAACAGAUCCUGUCACUGGAAGAUCAAGAGGAUUUGGAUUUGUGCUUUUCAAAGAUGCUGCUAGUGUUGAUAAGGUUUUGGAACUGAAAGAACACAAACUGGAUGGCAAAUUGAUAGACCCUAAAAGAGCCAAAGCUUUAAAAGGGAAGGAACCCCCAAAAAAGGUUUUUGUGGGUGGACUGAGCCCAGAUACUUCUGAAGAACAAAUUAAAGAAUAUUUUGGAGCCUUUGGAGAGAUUGAAAAUAUUGAACUUCCCAUGGAUACAAAAACAAAUGAAAGAAGAGGAUUUUGUUUUAUUACGUACACAGAUGAAGAGCCAGUAAAGAAAUUGUUAGAAAGCAGAUACCAUCAGAUUGGUUCUGGGAAGUGUGAAAUUAAAGUUGCUCAGCCCAAAGAGGUAUAUAGGCAGCAACAGCAACAACAAAAAGGAGGUAGAGGUGCUGCAGCUGGUGGACGAGGUGGUACUAGGGGUCGUGGACGAGGUCAGGGCCAAAACUGGAACCAAGGAUUUAAUAACUAUUAUGAUCAAGGAUAUGGAAAUUACAAUAGUGCCUAUGGUGGUGAUCAAAACUAUAGUGGCUAUGGCGGCUAUGAUUAUACUGGGUAUAACUAUGGGAACUAUGGAUAUGGACAGGGAUAUGCAGACUACAGUGGCCAACAGAGCACUUAUGGCAAGGCAUCUCGAGGGGGUGGCAAUCACCAAAACAACUACCAGCCAUACUAAAGGAGAACAUUGGAGAAAACAGCGGGAACUUCAUUGCAGGCCGUGUGUCACCCUGACCACGUCUAUCUCUGGGGGUCGCACGUUGCGGGCAGAGCGCAAGGCAUACACCAGAAAACGCUGUCCUGUGGAGGAGAUUGCUAAAGUAACCCGUCUUGCAGGACGACACUGAAGAUUGGUCUCCUGUUGAUCUAAGAUGAUAAUUUUGUAAAAGACUUUCUAGUGUACAAGACACAACUGUGUCCAACUGUAUAUAGCCGCCAAUUAGUUUUCUUUGUUUUUACUUUGUCUUUUGCUAUCUGUGUUAUGACUCGAUGUGGAUUUGUGUUUAUACAAAUUUUAUUUGUAUGGUUUCGUGUUAAACCUCAAAUAAAUGCUUCCUUAUGUGAUUGUUUUUCUGCGUCAGGUACUAAAUAGCUCUGUAAAAGUGUAAUUUUAAAUAAGCAAUAAUUAAGGCACAGUUUAUUUUGUAGAGAGUAUUGAUCCAUAGGGAGAAACUGGUCUUUUAUAAAUAGCCAGCUACGGUGUUUACUCUGUUCCCCUUUUUUGUUAGAUGUAUUCUAAGCUCUAAGGCUUCAUUUUUCUGUUACCUGAGGCUUCCACCAUACCUUUAAGUAAUGUUUCCUCUGUAUAUCUGGAGACUUUGUCAUGAAAAUCUUCAUGACAUAGUGUUGUGAUUAGUGGAAACUUUCUAGUAGACCAUGAAUCUUGGUUGUAUUUUGAAAAGUAAUUUUCUGAUGGCACAGAGCAUGCUGGUAACUCCUUUUUAUGAAUAGAAAGAUUUUGAUUUGUUCUUGUCUCUGGAAGGUCAUUUGUUAGGGUUUGCUAUAUUCUAAUCAGUGGUCUGCUAGAAAGUGCUUUGACUAAUUCAUAAUACUUAACUUUUGUUUUCUUGAUUAAAAUGUCCAGAUAUACACAGGGAAAAGCACUUAAACUGUGAUAGGAGCUACAGUUUAAGAACAUCAGAUGUAGUUACAUUUAACAAAGGGUUUGGCAAAUAGGUAUACGAUUAUUAAAGUUUGAGCAAAGAUUAGGUUAAAAUAUUUGAAGUAGUGGCUGAGUAAAUUAAAUUGUAUACUAUUCUGUUGGUAUUAUGUCACAGCAAGCACCAAACUGAACAAAAUGUUUUCUCUUGGGGCAUUGUUAGGAAGCUAUAUUGGAUGUUAACUGUUACGUGGUGUAAGUUUAUAGACGUCACGAUAGUAGGUUUCAUCAUUUUUAGUGCAGUUAGUGCAUGAGCUGAGUAGUUACCCAUAUUCAGACAUAGGAAGGAAUAGUGGGGAAAGGUAUACUUUAAACCUUAUGUAAGUGAAAACCUAGGUGUGACCAAGUCAUUACAGCACAUCUUCUAGUGCAUUAGAAAGAGUGGUGUUAGCUCUAGAUUUUGGAGGAAAUCCUUGGUAAAUUCAAGCUUUGGAUUUUACAUUCAGUGUAGUUAAUGAAUUUAAGGUUUUCGUUUUAUUUCUGUGGUUCUGUGUUAGCCACUAGACUGGCAUACAUGUUCACAUGUGGAAUAGUUGACCUCACCUUCAACCAAGUGUAAAUUUUUUAUGUUAAUGAACCUGCCUUUUUUUUGUUGUUUUAUUUGGUGCCUGCAACUUCCUUUGUUCCAAUGUUUGUACUUGCUGGGCUAUCAAGUUACAGUGCUUUUGGCCUUGUUUUGCUCCUGUUUUGCUCUUUGACCCUACACCUAGGCCAAGUACCAAUGUUGGCUAUUACAAGCGAUUGUUCAUUCUUUCAACAUGCCAACCUUAGGGAACAGAAAGGAGAUUUCAAGUUGUGUUGUCAAAGUCAGUAGGUGCAGUGUCUUAGGGCAGUGAAUCCUGUAAGUUCAAAUUUAUGAUUAGGUGGCAAGUUGACAUUGAGAUUGUCCUUUCCCUGGUCAAAAAUGAAUAAAGGCUUUUUAAACAAAAUCCAAACUCUUCAA